AUCUCUUUAGAGACAUGCAACACAAUUGAAACAAUAUAGAAAAAAUUAUAGCAUGGUUUCUAUGCAACGAUGAUAUGCACAAAUCAAGAAAUGGUCUAAAUUAUU
rfam:Gossypium arboreum cultivar AKA8401 contig_83025_1, whole genome shotgun sequence.